rnacentral:misc_RNA from 1 species
UGGUUCUGGCAUCGAUGAAGAACGCAGCGAAAUGCGAUAAGUAGUGUGAAUUGCAGAAUUCAGUGAAUCAUCGAAUCUUUGAACGCACAUUGCGCCCCUUGGUAUUCCAUGGGGCAUGCCUGUUCGAGCGUCAUUUGUACUCUCAAGCUUUGCUUGGUGUUGGGUGCUGUCUAGCUACUAGACUCGCCUUAAAAGAAUUGGCAGCCAGUGUAUUGGUCUUUUGCGCAGCACAAUUUGCGCUUUAACCAGCUAUUUCUGGCAUCCAGAAGCCUUUUACAACGCUUGACCUCGGAUCAGGUAGGGAUACCCGCUGA